UACGUAGGGGGCAAGCGUUGUCCGGAAUCAUUGGGCGUAAAGAGCGUGUAGGCGGCCAGAUAAGUCCGCUGUGAAAACUCGAGGCUCAACUUCGAGCUGUCGGCGGAAACUAUCUGGCUAGAGUCCGGAAGAGGAGAGUGGAAUUCCUGGUGUAGCGGUGAAAUGCGCAGAUAUCAGGAGGAACACCGAUGGCGAAGGCAGGUCUCUGGGCUGACACUGACGCUCAUGCACGAAAGCGUGGGGAGCAAACAGG
rnacentral:rRNA from 1 species